rnacentral:rRNA from 1 species
UGCCCAGACUCCUACGGGAGGCAGCAGUGGGGAAUAUUGCACAAUGGGGGAAACCCUGAUGCAGCAACGCCGCGUGAGUGAAGAAGUAUUUCGGUAUGUAAAGCUCUAUCAGCAGGGAAGAAGAUGACGGUACCUGAGUAAGAAGCCCCGGCUAACUACGUGCCAGCAGCCGCGGUAAUACGUAGGGGGCAAGCGUUAUCCGGAUUUACUGGGUGUAAAGGGGGCGCAGACGGCGAUGCAAGCCAGGAGUGAAAGCCCGGGGCCCAACCCCGGGACUGCUCUUGGAACUGCGUGGCUGGAGUGCAGGAGGGGCAGGCGGAAUUCCUGGUGUAGCGGUGAAAUGCGUAGAUAUUAGGAGGAACACCAGUGGCGAAGGCGGCUUACUGGACUGUAACUGACGUUGAGGCUCGAAAGCGUGGGGAGCAAACAGGAUUAGAUACCCCGGUAUCG